GACCAACAUGGUAUCCUUUGUGUAUGGCUUUGGUGGUGUUAAUUCUUGGUGUGAGGUUUAGAGGCAGUCAAAGUUUGUAGAGCCUGAAACAACAGAUAAAUUGAGGAAGGAAAUACUAGCUUCCAGGAGUAAAAUACUUUGGGAUUGCUAUCGCAAUUUUUUUUUCCUCGUGUAUCUUGGUAUCUGCAGAAUCCUGCUGACCUGGGGUUUGCUACCCGUUCAGCCUUCCAUUUUCCACUAAUUUCCUCUGUCUUGUGCUGUGACUACUUCCUUCAUCUCUCAUAGGCAAGAGCAGCUGGGCGCUGCCUUGUAAACUGCAUAAUUCCUAGCACCCUCAUCCUCAGCCAGGACAAUGAAUGGGCACCCAUUUCAAGCCACGUGCUUGCACCUUGAUGCAAGCCACUAAAACUCUGAUGUACUUGAAGAAAGCUACUCCCGACCCUCCUUGUCCCCGAGGUUCUCUCCUCCGUUACUCACCUUGUUGCACUUCACACAGUGCGGAGGAAGAGGAUGUGGCUGUAGGUAACUGAAUGUACAAGGAAAGCACACGCUGUACUGCCUUCUGGAAGAGCUGCUGUCCCUGCCCACUGGCCGGAGGACCCUGAGGCAUUCACCAGAUGAAUUUGAGGACUGGAGGAUCGGCUGCAGGGUGGUGAUCCCCUGAUGGAGCAGAUGUGAUCCAGAGACACUUCGGAUUCAUUGCAGAGGAGUUCCUAUGCACCAAAUAGUUCCAGGAUGGGAACGCAGUCAGGAAAGCUGUCACCUUGGUGUGUUGUGAUCUUACUCUUCCCUAAAUUUCUGUUUGUGGCUCCUCUUAAAUUUAACACCUCUCCACUUCAAAUAAAUCAAUAGCAAAAGUGUCGGCAGACAAAGAGGUUCUUUGGACUCACAGAAGCUUGUGCUGUUCCUGACCCACAUGGUGGAUGUACAGCUAGUUCAGCUUGCCACUGAGGACAAUUUAAUUCUGUGUAUUGCUAUUAAAUAAACAUGUUUUCUGCACAGCAGGAAAAAAAUACCAUCUCUCGGUCCAGACUGCAAUAAAUACCAACUGCAAUGCACAAGGCAGGACAAGAUUAAAAACGUGCUAUCUCAUCCAGAGGCGGGAUGACCCCUCGCAGGUGCAACACAAAGGAACUAUCUCGCUCCUGCAGGGAUGACGGCACUGGAAGAGCACAACUAAUGGUGUGAAAGUUAAAAAUUCAACCGGGAUGGACAAAGAUCUAAAGGGAGAGGAAGGAGGAGGUUUUGUGUGCCAUGUAGCUGCUGCAUUUCAGGGUAAAAACAAAAUUCUUGUCCGUGCUUUGCACGAGAACUCAGCCCCGCGGCCAGCUGCCUGGUGAACAAGGGGGAAAUGGGGCAAAAAGGGGCGGUUUUGGGGCGCUGACGGGGCGCGGGGCGCUGACAGGACCCGGCCCCAAUGGCGUCGCCCCCCCCCUCGCCCCCCCCUCCCCCCCGGCCUUGUUUACCGGCCGCCGCCCGGCCCCGCCCCCUCGCCCCACGUGACCGCCCCUCGAGGCCCCGCCCCCAGAAUCACGCGACCCUUCCGCCGAGCCGC